UAGGGAAUUUUCGGGCAAUGGGGGCGAAAGCCUGACCGAGCAACGCCGCGUGAACGAAGAAGUAUUUCGGUAUGUAAAGUUCUUUUAUUGGGGAAGAAAAAUAACCAAAUUGACGGUACCCAAUGAAUAAGCUCCGGCUAACUACGUGCCAGCAGCCGCGGUAAUACGUAGGGAGCGAGCGUUAUCCGGAAUUAUUGGGCGUAAAGGGUGCGUAGAUGGCAAUAUAAGUCUUAUGUAAAAAUGCUGGGCUCAACCCAGUAGGGCAUAAGAUACUGUAUAGCUCGAGUAUUGGAGAGGCAAGUGGAACUCCAUGUGUAGCGGUAAAAUGCGUAAAUAUAUGGAAGAACACCAGUGGCGAAGGCGGCUUGCUAGCCAGAUACUGACAUUGAGGCACGAAAGCGUGGGGAGCAAACA
rnacentral:rRNA from 1 species